GGAAAAAACACGCAGAACAGUGUUUUGCAAGCACAGAUGAGCUUCUGAGAGACUGAGUUCCCUUCGCAGGGCCCACGCUUCCAAAAUUUGUUUUCAUAUCCCAAAACUCUCCCCUCCGAGCAUCUCUGGGAUCAUCUCAGACAGGAACACGCGGCUGCUGCUACUGCAGCACCUCUCACCAACGCCCCCCACUGCUCCCACUCAGCAGAGCACUCACAGAAAGUUAAUUCUCCCCCUACAGAGCAUUAGGCCUCUUUCUCACAUUCAAUUCAUGUUUUCUGUCUGUCACUAGCAACAAAAAAUUCUUAAGUUAAUAUGUAAAGCUUAUUACAUAUAUUACAUAUCCUCUUUCCUCAAGGAAAGUAACAUGCCAACGAUUACUAAGCCAUCUGAGUGCACUACACUGAGCUGCAGAGAAAGAAAAGUUUAAUUAGGACAGGAAAUAAAAGGUGGAAAAGCAACUCGUGAACACCCACAUAAAUAACUCACUGCUAAAUCAGUGCUCAUGAACUAGUUCUUUAAAUCAUUCUUAGCUGCACCCUUCCUUACUAAGUGUUAGUUAAAGUAUUAUAUUGGUUGAUACAAAGAUAAAGUCUAGCUGCCUUUUUUUUUUUUUUUAAAAAACUUUGGGAACAGAUAGCAAAGGUUGUGUCUUUUCCUUUUUCUUUUUUUCCUUCUUUGAUUCCAAAAACACCCUGACACAUGGCGAGGGUUCUUUGAAAGAUGCUGUGGUCCUUCUCAAAUAAAAGAAUUUCUUUUCAACUGUUAUGCUCCCAAACCCUGCUGAUUGCAUCACUUCUGGACUGUUUUCCUUCUGCAGCAGGAGUACAAAAAUGAGUUCUUAUCCUUAACUGCACCUUUCAUACAAUACAGAGGGUAUUUGCCAUUGCUAUGCUAUUAAACUCAGGAAGAAAAUAUAGCGGGGUAGGUGUUAAAUGCAAAGCAUUCCUAUAAAAAUACAUUCUUACUCCGCAUAUUUGAUAUUCCAGAAGGUGAAAGUGAAGAAAGCAAAAAUAUUUGUCUUCCUGUUCAGUUUUUCUCAAGAACUAACUUUCAUUCUGAGCUGGUCUUCAGUGAAAUCUUUCCAGCAUCAGUCCUCUGCAGAGACAAAGCACAAUCCCACCUCCUCACGGCUACCUUCUGAGACAAUCACAGGUUAAACACCUCACUAUGCUGACAGUUACUGGUUUCAAAUGGAAGUGCAUCUUUCUCCAGUUUUAGAAGAGCACUCAACACCUGCGAGAGUGGUUUUGUCCUCUUUCCUUUACCAAACACAUGGAUGCUUAGAAUUAGUUUGAGCACAUGGAAAAAGGAAUUCUCUGUUGGUGAUUCAGAAGAUUGGGAAAUCGUUGAUGCCCUGAAGUAGGCAAGGCCAGGGAACACGAACGGGCAAAAGAUAGGAGGAGCGAGGAGGAAAAAAAAAGGCAGAUCUAUGCUCAGCUACCGGCCUGCAACAGCACCGCACAACCCACGAGGAGGUUACGCUGUGCCACCACACCAGAGGCUUUGCCAAGGGCCUGGGGGAAACAGGGCUCUGGCCAAAGGAGGUGGCAGGGACCUGGGCACCGAGCUGGGAUGUGGCAGCAGGUAGUGAGGACACAGGCAAGUGUACGGGCAGGAUGGUGAGGGCACAAGGCGGCGUGCAGCAGGCUUGGGCAGGGUGGUCGGAGAGGCAGCCUGGCCCGGCAGAGGGCACGGCAGCACUGCGCAGAGCCUGAGGCUGGGAAAUGCUGCUUUGGCCGCUUUUCCUUCCUCCCAGCCCUCAUGUUUUAGCUGAAUCCUGCAACAGAGAGCUGGAGGGGGCGCAGGGAGUUUGUUUGCAUUCCUGCGGCAGGAAAGGUGCGAGUUUUUUCUCGGCUUAACUCUGCACCUGCCAUUACUGUGCACAGCCAAAUGUGCAGGUAGAAGGCAUGGGCACUGAAGCCAUGAGACAACACACUGCAAACGAGGAGUCUUGGGAAGGGGGAAGAUUGAGGAAGGGGCCUUCACUGCCCCACUGGCAGACAUAGGGCUCGCUCGGCUUGUCCUGCACCCCUUGCAGGUGCUGUGCUAGGAGCAGGGAUGGCACUGAGGCUUCUCUCCUGUCCCGGGAUCCCUACCAUGCAGGCGUGAGGUCCUGGCAUAGGUGAACAUCCAUGGGAAGCUGGACCCGGCCUCGGGGCUGCAGGAUUCCUCCAGAAGGCAUGGUUACCCCCGCUGCCGUUUCCACCCCCUCUGCCGUUUUCCCUCUGCAGGAUAAUGCUUAGUGUCCAGAAAAACAUGGGGAAUCUUCUCAGGAAUUCUGUUUGCUAUUUUAAGCAAGCUUCUCUGUGCCUCCUGAUAUCACCACUUCCUCAUCCUCACCAGAAUAAUGCAAGGACAAUGAUUUUAAUCCUUCACAAAAUGUCAGCAUUAAUGGCUUUGAGUGUGCUGGAAAAGUGCCUGUCAAUAACAGCGGGGUUGGUGUGACUGUGGGACUCAUCCAACCUCCAAAUAAACCUGCACAGCCUGAAGGUUUUGUCCCAGACAUAUGAGGACAGUUAAUGUGGAGUUUCAUGUUGUAAUUCUUUUUUACCUGGUGUUUGGUAGAAAGAUCAUCACGAUCUCUAAAACAUGAAUAAACAAAUAGAAUCUCAUUAAAUUAAUGCCACCAGACAGCAAUCUUUCUUCUUGGAGUUGGGUGUCUAGUUGCACCUUGCAUAAAAUACACUUGUCUUCUUCCCUCUCACACGUGGCAAACUUUUCUUUCUUCCCUAUAUUUUUUCAAUACUGAACUUUGCAAGCUAGCCAAACUGUGUGAAUGUUGAGAAGAAGUACACAGGGGCUACACACAGGAGUACACACAGAUGUGGCUUCCAAAGGACUUUUAUCAGCCAGGUUUGUGAGUUCAGCGUACAGUUGUAGCUGUCCUGAGCCACUGAGUGCCGCCCCUACCUUCACCAGGACCCGGCAGACUGUUUCUUCUCUGCAUUCGAUGGAAGCAGGUGCCCUCUCUCUGGGCAUUCUUGCAUCUGCAGGUUUCUAUUUCAUACCAGCUCUCCUGCCUUCUUUUCAUUUGGAAGCCUUUCUACGUCCCCAGCCUCCCUCAACUGCUCUCUGAUUCUCUUCCAUGUUUUGUUUUUCCAAAUAAAACAAUAGCUAGAUUGCAAGAGGUCAUAUAUCAUAACACAUGCAGUUUCUUUACAGGUCAGUUCUACAUUGGUUACAUUUCUCAAUCCCUGUAAUUUAAGCUGAUGGUUAACUUCAUGACUUAAUUCUUUACAAUGCCUGUGAGCUUCUUGCUCAGUACGUUGGUGUGUAAUGACUCAGAAUUAUGGCAUUUGAUGCAUGUACAUCCAGAAUCCUGUUACUGGCCAUUUAAAUACCCAGGGGUUACUCGUGUCCCAUCUCUGAUCCCGGUAGCAAAUGCAUGUAAUUCCAGAAUCCAGGCUCAUCAGUUGUGCAUUACCCAAAGUCCCUACCUUUGGAGCAGCAUCAGCGUGGAAGCAAUGUAGUUCAUGGAUCUGGCUGCUAAAGCAGCGUGCUUCAAACUAGUAUGAUAACAGAGUAAUUCCACUGAAUAGUUAAUUUGGGGGAUAGAGGAAUGAAUAGUAAUUUUAGGUAUAUGCCUAAUUUUAGCUAUAUAAAGUGUAGUACACUUAAUCUGUCAUUAAAAUCAUUGUUUCACCUGUGUUCGGGAUGAUGUCCAGGUGGCAUAGCGCUGUACCAAAAAGCUGUUUGCCAAAAAGAUGCUUCCUCGUUCCCCCUGCCACACCCCUGGUCUGAAGCCAGCAGGCCACAGGUGAUCUCCGUGGCCACGAUCUACGUCGUUGCCGUCCUUUGGCUCUGGACCUUGUGCCCUACGAAAACAACCCUGAUAAAACCCCAGCCAUCCAGUCGAUCUUGCUGUCAGCGCCCAUGCUUUCACUUAACUUUGUGCAAAUAUUGGUUCCGAGUCGUGAAGAGGAGGGGCUUGGCGCGUGGGUUUGGAGCACAGCGCUCCCAAACCAGCAGUACGAGUCUCGGCAACGUGCGCUUGCCAAAGCUUUCACAUUGCUUGGUUUGCUAAUCUUCCAAAUUCUUUGCCUUGGGUAUAAUCCCACUAAAUAUGAUUCAAUUUGUCAACAUAGCUACCUGAUGACUAACGUGUGUUUAGCUGGUCAGCCCUUUUUUAUACAGUCGCUAUCAAGUGAGAUGGUGAGUGACAGCAGAUGUGGUUGGAAAAAUACCUUAUUUUUCACCCCAGAUAGCUCUGAGGCUGAAACUUGCUUGCUGUUUUCCACUGCCCCAGCUCAGCAAGAUUACUCUUUAUAAUGCAGUGCCUGUAGUUAAGGUGCAUUUAUAAUACUCUUUCACAUUGGCUGCGUUUUUCAUUCCCUAUAAUUUACAUAGCUGAAGGUUAACUUCACAGCUUAAUUCUGUAUUAUCCCUUCUAGUUUCCUGCUCAGGACAGGAAUAAAUCUGAGCCCGUUUCUGUCCAGCAGUGCGCGUUUGUAGCUCAUCGUAGCCAGCAGGGUGUAUUCACCCAAGUGCCCACGUCCCCGGUGUGUCUGGGUGGGUAAUCUCGUGUGCGUGACAGCGCGUUGUGGGGGCAGAGGUGACCGAUGAGCGGUCUACAUCUGAUCUCGGCUCUCCACCAUCGUCCUCCUGGGGUGAGGCAGCCCGUGGAAGGGCAGCGCUCGUGCUGCGAGGUGCCAUGCUCCCGGCCGAGGCCAGAGAGCCAGACCCCAGCCUGUGCAGUGAGCGAGGAGAUCAGUGUGCGGCCCCAGUGCCAGCGGUGCGGCGGCCUUAGGACUUUCUCUGCCCAUCCCGCCGUGCCUUCAGGGAAGGUGGUUAACGUUGCCUAAGUGUAGGGGAAGGCAGGGUGAAAAGUGCCCAGAGUUUCCCGGCCAGCUCUCACAACCUCCUUCUGGAAAUCCCCUUGUCCCCAGUAUUCCCCCAACACCGCCUGCACCCCUUGCGUCCCCAGCAAGGACGCUGCUCCCAGGCGAUACCUGGGGGCGGUGACGGCACCGAGAUAGCCCGACAGCACGGUGACCUGCAGGGAGGGGACACCACGGGGCUCCUGUCACCCCAGCACCGCCUUCCGAGCAGUGUGUGUCGUGGCUGUCCGGCUGCGAGGUGUGAUUUUAUUUACCUUUCCUAACGAGCCGGGGUUGUGGCUGGUGGGCCAGGUGUUGUUAUCACGGGGUGAGCUGCGUGUGUCACGCUUUUACGGUCAGAGGCAAACAAAAACACUGCGGCGCAGAGCGGUGCUGCGAGCGUCUGUGAAAACAACACCAGCGAUGAUGACUCACGGCUCUGUAAUGCCACGUUAAAUUUGCUAAAUGCAGCUGGCUUGUGGUGUAGCACGGGGACGGCUCAGCCCCAGCCCUGCUGCGGCCGCCCGCGCUCGGCUGGGAGCAAGAAUUUACAGAAUCAGAAAUGACAACUGAUCUGAGUAAAAUCUGCGGAUGUGAUUGAGUGUACACUGGGAGCCGUUUGUGGAAAAGGCAGCUUUUAUGGUGAUUUCUCACAUCUGCAGCCACAGAACCUGCUCCUGCACAGCACAGAGUCUGCAGAAGCACGUGCUGCGCUGUACGGAUGUGAAUGGCCAAGCUUGCGCUCGGUGUUAGGAGGAUCCUGCUGGGAAAACCAUCAGGAAGCCCAGUUAAAGUCAUGGGCAAAGCAGAAGGGCACAGAUGCAGGCACACACAGCAGCAGAAGAAAUGCAGAGCCAUGCAUUAAAGCCAACUGCAGUUACUGGGACAGAAUCCACUUUUGAAAGAUGUGUUUGCAUCCAAACCGCGCUCCAGCAGCAAAAGGUCUCCUGGACUGCUGCUGCCAUUGGCUGGUGAUGAACGGAGGCAGGAAAGAGAGGAGGUUCCUUUGCAAACUCACACAUGAAAAAAUAUUGCUGCUGUUGAGUUUGUCAGAUGGCGGCACUCGGGGCCCAGCUGGUGGAGCUGGGCAAGCAGCCCAGGAGAUGGAUUAUCCCGUAGGAGCCACCAAUGGGACCUGAUUCUGCCCUCAUCCAACCCCAUCAAUGCUUCAGGAGGUGUCAUUCGUCUUUGGGAGGUGUUGUGAGGCUGAGAUCACCUUCACGGGGCUUUGGGGGAGGUAACGUGUGUUGGCCUGGAGCAACGACCGCUGCUCUCCAGCUUGGGCUGCGGGCAGGCAGAGAACAGCAGCGUCCACCUCUGCUCCUCCAAGCUUGGAUCAUUGCACUGAUUCGGAGUGACCCCUGCCUCAGCUGCGAAGGAGAGAACCUGUAGGAAAGCUCAUGCUGAGCUCUGCCACAAGGCUCUGGUGUCCACACAGAGCUGGGCGAGCAGUGGGGGCCAGCCCUGACCUUUACUGUAGCAAGGGCGCCUCCGCUGCCCCCCUCCCUGUCCCUCUGCAGGGGCUUUUCCCGUGCAAUUCAGGUUGUUCCACGGAGCAGGCUCAGGGGCUGCCUGCUAAAUCAGACAAUUAAAUCCUUGAGUC